rnacentral:rRNA from 1 species
AGCGAACGCUGGCGGCAGGCCUAACACAUGCAAGUCGAACGAACUCUUCGGAGUUAGUGGCGGACGGGUGGGUAACACGUGGGAACGUGCCUUUUGGUUCGGAAUAACUCAGGGAAACUUGUGCUAAUACCGAAUGUGCCCUUCGGGGGAAAGAUUUAUCGCCAUUAGAGCGGCCCGCGUCUGAUUAGCUAGUUGGUGAGGUAACGGCUCACCAAGGCGACGAUCAGUAGCUGGUCUGAGAGGAUGACCAGCCACACUGGGACUGAGACACGGCCCAGACUCCUACGGGAGGCAGCAGUGGGGAAUCUUGCGCAAUGGGCGAAAGCCUGACGCAGCCAUGCCGCGUGAAUGAUGAAGGUCUUAGGAUUGUAAAAUUCUUUCACCGGGGACGAUAAUGACGGUACCCGGAGAAGAAGCCCCGGCUAACUUCGUG